rnacentral:rRNA from 1 species
UGGCGGACGGGUGAGUAACGCGUGGAUAACCUGCCUUACACUGGGGGAUAACACUUAGAAAUAGGUGCUAAUACCGCAUAAGCGCACAGCUUCGCAUGAAGCAGUGUGAAAAACUCCGGUGGUAUACGAUGGAUCCGCGUCUGAUUAGCUGGUUGGCGGGGUAAAGGCCCACCAAGACAACGAUGGAUAGGGGUUCUGAGAGGAAGGUCCCCCACAUUGGAACUGAGACACGGUCCAAACUCCUACGGAAGGCAGCAG